UACGUAGGAGACGAGCGUUGUCCGGAAUUACUGGGCGUAAAGCGCGUGUAGGCGGAUGGGCAAGUCUGCUGUGAAAGCUCCUGGCUUAACCGGGAGUGGUCGGUGGAAACUGCCAAUCUGGAGGACGGUAGAGGUAGGUAGAAUUCCCGGUGUAGUGGUGAAAUGCGCAGAUAUCGGGAAGAACACCCGUGGCGAAGGCGGCUCUCUGGGACGGUACUGACGCUGAGACGCGAAAGCGUGGGGAGCGAACAGG
rnacentral:rRNA from 1 species